GGGCUGAAUCUAUUGGACUACGGUGCUUGAAAAUAUUUACACGGGGGUUCGGGGGCGGGAGCCCCCGAAGCAAAUUUUUUUGAGCAUUCCGUACACUUCAUUUCAUACAUUUUUUCAACAAUCACUUAAUAUAAUAAGAUAAUUGUUCGCAAUUCAAUUAAUUCAACAUCAAGUAGAUUGAAAGCAUAUAAAAACGUACUUUUAUUCAUUUUUCUUAAAAAAAAAUUGUUUCAUCUUCU
rnacentral:lncRNA from 1 species